rnacentral:rRNA from 1 species
AGAGUUUGAUCCUGGCUCAGGAUGAACGCUAGCGGCAGGCCUAAUACAUGCAAGUCGAACGGUCAGUAGCAAUACUGAUAGUGGCGCACGGGUGCGUAACACGUAACUAACCUACCUAUAACUGGGGGAUAGCCCGCCGAAAGGCGGAUUAAUACCGCAUAAGCUGCUUGAGUGGCAUCACUCGAAUAGUAAAGAUUUAUUGGUUAUAGAUGGGGUUGCGGGUCAUUAGCUAGUUGGUAAGGUAACGGCUUACCAAGGCGACGAUGACUAGGGGAGCUGAGAGGCUGGUCCCCCACACGGGCACUGAGAUACGGGCCCGACUCCUACGGGAGGCAGCAGUAGGGAAUAUUGGGCAAUGGGCGAGAGCCUGACCCAGCCAUGCCGCGUGCAGGAAGAAGGCUUUCUGAGUCGUAAACUGCUUUUGACAGGGAAGAAUAAGCACUACGUGUAGUGUGAUGACGGUACCUGCAGAAUAAGCACCGGCUAACUCCGUGCCAGCAGCCGCGGUAAUACGGAGGGUGCGAGCGUUGUCCGGAUUUAUUGGGUUUAAAGGGUGCGUAGGCGGCCCGUUAAGUCCGGGGUGAAAGCCCGUUGCUCAACAACGGAACUGCCCUGGAUACUGACGGGCUUGAGUACAGACGAGGUUGGCGGAAUGGACCGAGUAGCGGUGAAAUGCAUAGAUACGGUCCAGAACCCCGAUUGCGAAGGCAGCUGACUAGGCUGUUACUGACGCUGAGGCACGAAAGCGUGGGGAGCGAACAGGAUUAGAUACCCUGGUAGUC